CGCGCCGACCCGCUCAAUCGUGAUCAUCACGAACCGGGGACCCAUUGCACGUCCGGGGUGAAUCCGCAGGCUGCGGCCCGUGGUAGGGCGAUCUUCCCGCCCGAAUCCGUCAGCUAACCCGGUAGGCGGUGUCGGAAGGAGUU
rfam:Micromonospora sp. ATCC 39149 genomic scaffold supercont1.1, whole genome shotgun sequence.